rnacentral:rRNA from 1 species
AUUGAACGCUGGCGGCAGGCCUAACACAUGCAAGUCGAGCGGAGCGGCGGACGGGUGAGUAAUGCCUAGGAAUCUGCCUGGUAGUGGGGGAUACCGUCCGGAAACGGGCGCUAAUACCGCAUACUUUAAGAUGAGCCUAGGUCGGAUUAGCUAGUUGGUGGGGUAAUGGCUUACCCAGGCGACGAUCCGUAACUGGUCUGAGAGGAUGAUCAGCCACACUGGAACUGAGACACGGUCCAGACUCCUACGGGAGGCAGCAGUGGGGAAUAUUGGACAAUGGGCGAAAGCCUGAUCCAGCCAUGCCGCGUGUGUGAAGAAGGUCUUCGGAUUGUAAAGCACUUUAAGUUGGGAGGCGUUACCUACAGAAUAAGCACCGGCUAACUACGUGCCAGCCGCCGCGGUAAUUC